rnacentral:rRNA from 1 species
UACGUAGGGGGCAAGCGUUGUCCGGAUUUAUUGGGCGUAAAGGGCGCGUAGGCGGCCAUUCAAGUCGAGUGUGAAAGCCCCGGGCUCAACCUGGGAGGUGCGCUUGGGACUGGGUGGCUGGAGUUCGGGAGAGGAGCGUGGAAUUCCCAGUGUAGAGGUGAAAUUCGUAGAUAUUGGGAGGAACACCUGUGGCGAAAGCGGCGCACUGGACCAUAACUGACGCUGAGGCGGCGAAAAGC